UUGUUGUAUGAGAUGAUGAACGUGUGUCCUCCAUUUCGUGAUAUAAAGGAAAUCAUGGAAGCCGAAGUUAGGUUUGCAAACCCACAUUUAUCCAAAGAAUGCCGUGAUGUGAUUGUCCAGUGCCUAGCCCGUGACCCUACUGAAAGGCCGACCUUGGAGCAGCUCUUGCAGCAUGACUGGUUUAAAACAAAAAAAUGAAGGGAGGAUUGAGUCAGAGGGCUGAAACAUCGGAGUGAUCAGUAUGUGUCCGGUCUGCUGCGCUGGAAGGGGAUGUUAUCAGAGCGACAGACGAGAGAAGUGCUGGAUAUGAGCCGGGAACUCGGACUCGGUCUAAAGCCUAGACGCUCCACCUGUCAGCCUCUGAAAGGACUUUUAUGUUUUUUUGAUAUAAAAACACCAUGACAGUUUGA